rnacentral:lncRNA from 1 species
CACAAUUUCAAGUAAACUUUACUGUUUCAGGAAUACAGAUACAACUGACUUAUGGCUGUUAGUUUUGUUGUUUAUUUGUUUGCUGUUUCUCCCCCCCCCCCCAAAUGCAACAGAAGCAACAGGUCACAAUGAGGCAUUCCAGUGGGUCAGUUUGGCUGAGUGCAAGGACUCUUCAAGCAGAAUAUACAGAAAUUAAAGCUUGCUUGAACUGA